AGACAAUAGAUACCCUGGUAGUCCACGCCCUAAACGAUCAUAACUGGCUAUAAGGAGUAUCGACCCUCUUUGUGGCGAAAGCUAACGCGUUAAGUUAUGCGCCUGGGUAGUACGAUCGCAAGAUUAAAACUCAAAGGAAUAGACGGGGACUUGCACAAGCGGUGGAUCAUGCGGCUCAAUUCGAUGAUAAACGAAAAACCUCACCAGGGUUUGAAACCCAGACGAAACCCCUAGGAAACUAGGGGCCCCGCAAGGCGGCUGGGCAGGUGAUGCAUGGUCGUCGUCAGUUCGUGGCUUGAGUUGUUCCCUUCAGUGGGGUAACGAACGCAACCCGCGUUGCCUGUUUUACAAGUCAGGCGAGACUGCCCCCUCACGGGGGUAGGAAGGUGCGGAUGACGCCAGAUCAGCAUGUCCCUCUGAUAUCCUGGGGCUGCACGCAUGAUACAAUGCACAUGACAACGGGUUCGCGACGGGGUUAACCCCUGAGCCAAUCCUCAUAACAUGUGCCCAGUUCGGAUUGAGGUCUGCAACUCGACCUC
rnacentral:rRNA from 1 species